rnacentral:rRNA from 1 species
AGUGAACGCUGGCGGUAGGCCUAACACAUGCAAGUCGAACGGCAGCACAGUAAGAGCUUGCUCUUACGGGUGGCGAGUGGCGGACGGGUGAGGAAUACAUCGGAAUCUACUUUUUCGUGGGGGAUAACGUAGGGAAACUUACGCUAAUACCGCAUACGACCUACGGGUGAAAGCAGGGGAUCUUCGGACCUUGCGCGAUUGAAUGAGCCGAUGUCGGAUUAGCUAGUUGGCGGGGUAAAGGCCCACCAAGGCGACGAUCCGUAGCUGGUCUGAGAGGAUGAUCAGCCACACUAGAACUGAGACACGGUCCAGACCCCUACGGGAGGCAGCAGUGGGGAAUAGUGGACAAUGGGCGCAAGCCUGAUCCAGCCAUACCGCGUGGGUGAAGAAGGCCUUCGGGUUGUAAAGCCCUUUUGUUGGGAAAGAAAAGCAGCAGGUUAAUACCCCGCUGUUCUGACGGUACCCAAAGAAUAAGCACCGGCUAACUUCGUG